AUUGAACGCUGGCGGCAGGCCUAACACAUGCAAGUCGAGCGAUCGGCGGACGGGUGAGGAAUGUAUGGGGACUGCCCGGUGGAGGGGGCUAACUACUGGGAACGGUGGCUAAUAACGCAUACUAUCGGAUAUUCCCUAUGGGAUUAGCUAGUAGGUGGGGUAAGGGCUCAGCUAGGCGACGAUCUCUAGCUGGUCUGAGAGGAUGAGGCGGCAAAAUUGGUCUGAGACACGGCCCAGACUCCGAGGGAGGCAGCAGUGGGGAAUAUUGCACAAUGGGGGCAAGCCUGAUGCAGACAUGCCGCGUGUAUGAAGAAGGCCUUAGGGUUGUAAAGUACUUUCAGCGGGGAGGCGUUACCCGCAGAAGAAGCACCGGCUAACUCCGUGCCAGCAGCCGCGGUAAUUC
rnacentral:rRNA from 1 species